UACAGAGGGUGCGAGCGUUGUCCGGAAUCACUGGGCGUAAAGGGCGCGUAGGUGGUGGCUUAAGCGUGCGGUGAAAGCUCGGAGCUCAACUCCGAGUCGGCCGUGCGAACUGGGCUCUCUGGAGCAUAGUAGAGGCAGGUGGAAUUCCGGGUGUAGCGGUGGAAUGCGUAGAGAUCCGGAAGAACACCGGUGGCGAAGGCGGCCUGCUGGGCUAUGGCUGACACUGAGGCGCGACAGCGUGGGGAGCAAACAGG
rnacentral:rRNA from 1 species